AGCAGUAGCCGCGGUAAUACGGAGGGUGCAAGCGUUAAUCGGAAUUACUGGGCGUAAAGCGCACGCAGGCGGUCUGACAAGUCAGAUGUGAAAUCCCCGGGCUUAACCUGGGAACUGCAUUUGAAACUGUCAGGCUGGAGUCUUGUAGAGGGGGGUAGAAUUCCAGGUGUAGCGGUGAAAUGCGUAGAGAUCUGGAGGAAUACCGGUGGCGAAGGCGGCCCCCUGGACAAAGACUGACGCUCAGGUGCGAAAGCGUGGGGAGCAAACAGGAUUAGAUACCCGAGUAGUCCCUGUCUCUUAUAC
rnacentral:rRNA from 1 species